UACCUGAUAGUGACCGCGAAUGCGGGAAGCAGGGUGAUCCUAUGCUGCCAAGAAAAUCUUCUAGCGAGGUUCGAGCCGCCCGUACCCCAAACCGACUCAGGUGGUUAGGUAGAGAAUACCAAGGCGAUCGAGUGAAUCGUGGUUAAGGAAUUCGGCAAAAUGCCCCCGUAACUUCGGGAGAAGGGGGGCCCAGACUCUGAAGUCACUCGCUGACUAGGGGAAAGGGCCGCAGAGACCAGGGAGAAGCGACUGUUUACUAAAAACACAGGUCCGUGCGAAGUCGCAAGACGAUGUAUACGGACUGACGCCUGCCCGGUGCUGGAAGGUUAAGAGGACGGGUUAGAUCUUCGGGUCGAAGCUCAGAAUUUAAGCCCCAGUAAACGGCGGUGGUAACUAUAACCAUCCUAAGGUAGCGAAAUUCCUUGUCGGGUAAGUUCCGACCUGCACGAAUGGCGUAACGACUUCUCCACUGUCUCAACCGCGAACUCGGCGAAAUUGCACUACGAGUAAAGAUGCUCGUUACGCGCAGCAGGACGGAAAGACCCCGGGACCUUCACUAUAGCUUGGUAUUGGUGUUCGGGACGGCUUGUGUAGGAUAGGUGGGAGACUUUGAAGCCGGCACGCCAGUGUCGGUGGAGUCAACGUUGAAAUACCACUCUGGUCGUUCUGGAUGUCUAACCUCGGUCCGUGAUCCGGAUCAGGGACAGUGCCUGGUGGGUAGUUUAACUGGGGCGGUUGCCUCCUAAAAGGUAACGGAGGCGCUCAAAGGUUCCCUCAGCCUGGUUGGCAAUCAGGUGUCGAGUGUAAGUGCACAAGGGAGCUUGACUGCGAGAGAGACAUCUCGAGCAGGGACGAAAGUCGGAACUAGUGACCCGGCGGUGGCUUGUGGAAGCGCCGUCGCUCAACGGAUAAAAGGUACCCCGGGGAUAACAGGCUGAUCUUGCCCAAGAGUCCAUAUCGACGGCAUGGUUUGGCACCUCGAUGUCGGCUCGUCGCAUCCUGGGGGUGGAGUCGCUCCCAAGGGUUGGGCUGUUCGCCCAUUAAAGCGGUACGCGAGCUGGGUUUAGAACGUCGUGAGACAGUUCGGUCCCUAUCCGCUGUGCGCGUAGGAAACUUGAGAAAGGCUGACCCUAGUACGAGAGGACCGGGUUGGACGAACCUCUGGUGUGUCAGUUGUUCUGCCAAGAGCACCGCUGAUUAGCUACGUUCGGAAGUGAUAACCGCUGAAAGCAUCUAAGCGGGAAGCACGUUUCAAGAUGAGGUUUCCAUGGGGCUUGCCCCGAGAGGCUCCCGGCUAGACUACCGGGUUGAUAGGCCAGACGUGGAAGUGCAGUUAUGCAUGUAGCUGACUGGUACUAAUAAGCCGAUAACUUGGU
rnacentral:rRNA from 1 species